CCUGAACGCUGGCGGCGUGGCUAAGACAUGCAAGUCGAACGGGUGUAGCAAUACACCAGUGGCGGACGGGUGAGUAAUGUAUCGCUAACGUGCCCUGGAAUCUGAGAUAGCCAAUCGAAAGGUUGGGUAAUACCAGAUGAAAUAUCCUUAUCGCAUGAUGAGGAUCUCAAAGGAGCAAUCCGGUCUGGGAGCGGGCGAUAUCGUAUCAGCUAGUUGGUGAGGUAACGGCUCACCAAGGCGACGACGCGUAGCCGGGCUGAGAGGUCGGCCGGCCACAUUGGGACUGAGACACUGCCCAGACUCC
rnacentral:rRNA from 1 species